rnacentral:rRNA from 1 species
AGGACGAACGCUGGCGGCGUGCUUAACACAUGCAAGUCGAGCGGAAAGGCCCUUCGGGGUACUCGAGCGGCGAACGGGUGAGUAACACGUGAGUAAUCUGCCCCUAGCUCUGGGAUAGCUCCGGGAAACCGGGAUUAAUACCAGAUACGACCACUUUAGACAUCUGUUGUGGUGGAAAGAAUUUUGGCUAGGGAUGAGCUCGCGGCCUAUCAGCUUGUUGGUGAGGUAACGGCCCACCAAGGCGACGACGGGUAGCCGGCCUGAGAGGGUGACCGGCCACACUGGGACUGAGACACGGCCCAGACUCCUACGGGAGGCAGCAGUGGGGAAUAUUGCACAAUGGGCGCAAGCCUGAUGCAGCAACGCCGCGUGAGGGACGACGGCCUCGGUUGUAAACCGUCUUUAGUAGGAAGAAGCGAAAGUGACGGUACCUGCAGAAAAGACACCGGCUAACUACGCGCCAGCAGCCGC